AUUGAACGCUGGCGGCAGGCCUAACACAUGCAAGUCGAGCGGAUGAAGGGAGCUUGCUCCUGGAUUCAGCGGCGGACGGGUGAGUAAUGCCUAGGAAUCUGCCUGGUAGUGGGGGAUAACGUCCGGAAACGGGCGCUAAUACCGCAUACGUCCUGAGGGAGAAAGUGGGGGAUCUUCGGACCUCACGCUAUCAGAUGAGCCUAGGUCGGAUUAGCUAGUUGGUGGGGUAAAGGCCUACCAAGGCGACGAUCCGUAACUGGUCUGAGAGGAUGAUCAGUCACACUGGAACUGAGACACGGUCCAGACUCCUACGGGAGGCAGCAGUGGGGAAUAUUGGACAAUGGGCGAAAGCCUGAUCCAGCCAUGCCGCGUGUGUGAAGAAGGUCUUCGGAUUGUCAAGCACUUUAAGUUGGGAGGAAGGGCAGUAAGUUAAUACCUUGCUGUUUUGACGUUACCAACAGAAUAAGCACCGGCUAACUUCGUG
rnacentral:rRNA from 1 species